CCUAUAUUCGAUAUUUUGAUAAUUUUAGCUACAUUAUUAACCGAUUUUUUGCAAGUUUCGCAUUUCAAUAUUGUAAUGGCUUGUGACAAAAGUUGCCUAUGCAUGUCCACGUCGUCGUAUGGAACGUAAUAUAAGGCUACAUUCCGUAUUUUUUAGAUUUUAAUAGAAUUUUUAUCGGACCUUUGCCUUCUCAUGUCGUCCACAGAAGUUCUUGGGUCGGCAUUGUGGUUUGUCUAAAUACUUUCCCAUUACGCCUUAUAAGGGGUCAACGAAGUAUUCUUAUCCAUGGUCUAAAUGCCUUGUAAACCUUGUUCUUAAUUUUCAAUUUAACGCUGAUAGCUGUGGCUUGUGCAAACUACUUAAACGAUUUGUCGACUAUGUCCCCCAGAUAGUUCCCCUUGACCUGGUCAUUCAGCUGGGUUCACAUCUCCGCAGACAAGGCAGGAAAGGGUGUGGCCGUGGACUUAGUGGCGGAUAUUUUCAUAUACCGCGAGAUAGAUUGUAGAUAAAAAUACUAAUUCAAAUUGUUUUUAAAGGCAUUGUCCAAUUUGAAGUUAAGAAAAGUUAGUUUUCAAUUAUUUUUCUACAUUGACAAAUUUUGGGUUCCAAUUGUCCGACGCACAUGUAUAUAUUUUCAAAACUUUAAGUUUUUCUCGUCGUGGAUGAUAUAAAAUAUUUAUGUCCGAAAAAUUCUCUUUUCUUUCGAAUAAACACAUUAAAUAUUAAAUGAAUUUAUUCCUAUGGUACCUUUACCAACAUCCAAUUCCAGUGCUCAAUAUUUGAAAACGAAAAAUAACUGCAACAAUAACGGUGUCUCUUCGACAGCAACCAACAAGAAUGGCAACAACAAGGCCAAAGAUAAAAAAUCGAAUCAGAAAAACAAUCGACCACGGCUGGAGUCGGAAUCAUCAUCCGAUGUGGAUAAUCACAAGAAUGCUAUGAUGUUCGAAAUGGACAUGUAAAGCGCAACCCAAACUCCAAAAUGAUUUUCCAAAAUUUAUAAAACAAAAGCACCCACCAACUAACCAUGGAGCAAACUAAAAAUAAGUGGUACUCUACAAAAUUUUGUAUUGAAUGGAAAUUUGAAAAAGAAAUCAAAUCGUCGUGUUUCAUCAGAACAUAUUAACAAACAUACAUACAAGCAUACAUACAUCAAUACACAAUAUAUAUCCAUUUGAAAUUGUUUACUUAGCUAUUAGAGAAAGUAAUUUUAAUAAUGUUAUUACACACAGCAACAAAUAUUGUAGUAGGCUAGUAUAUAGUUAUCCUAGUUUGAGAGUAUUUAAAAGAAAACAUCUAAAUAUUCAUCAUCUAUAGGAAGAGUAAUAAUUGCCUUAUAAGAAACAAAUUAUGUAUUUGAAUACAACAAUAAUACCUUAAAAACCCACACUAACAUCAAGAUGCAUGCGUAUAUAUAUUGCUCAAAAAAUAUCCCCACAAUCCCCUUGAAUUUUUUUGUUAGCACAUUUGGCCCUUUUAAACAAUUUGUAUAUUUUUGUUUUCUAUUUAUUAAAAAAAGAAAGAUAAUUAUAUUAAUUUGAUUUCUGUUUGCCUUUCACACACACAUAAAUAUAUAACGGUUGUAGAAAUUCCAAAUAUUAUUUGCGAAACACAGCACUUUAAAAAAAGACUUUAAACAUUUUAUAAAAAUUGUUAGAAACUUUAAUUUUUUUGUUAUCAUAUGUAAUUAUUAUUUUUAUUUUCUUCUCUAAGAAAAAUCCAAUAUUGUUAUAAAAUUUAAAAUUUUGUUAAUUCUAUUAAAAAAUUAAAAAAAAAAACAUACAUUUACCCCACAAAAAAGAAAAACCUCUUGUGCAUGCAUGCCUCAAAUAUGAAAUUUUUCAAAACGAAAAUGAAAUCAAUUUGAGUUUACAAAAGAGAACGAACAUGAAUGUUUCUUCUGCUUGUUCUACACACGAAGUAUAUUUAUAUAAAUAGGGUUCACUUCUAUAUUCAUCAAUUACAAUUGUUCAUAUCAAACACAUUUAUAUAAAUUGUAUGUACUCCUGUAUGAGGAAUCUUUUUUAUUAUUAUUAUUUCUAAUGUUAUGCCACAUAUACAUACACACAUAUAUAUUGAAGUUAUUCCUUACAAAAAUAUAGUAUAUACAACGUUUAAUACUGUAUCGAUUGCAUACGAAAGAAGAAACCUCAAGAGUUUUUUUUUAUUAAAAAUUAUUAUGUAUGUACACUACUUUUUCCUUAAUUGUGAAUAAAACAUUUUAAAUGAAAAUA